rnacentral:rRNA from 1 species
AUUAAACGCUGGCGGCAUGCCUUACACAUGCAAGUCGAACGGCAGCACGGGUGCUUGCACCUGGUGGCGAGUGGCGAACGGGUGAGUAAUAUAUCGGAACGUACCUUAUUGUGGGGGAUAACGCAGCGAAAGCUGUGCUAAUACCGCAUAAUCCCUAAGGGGGAAAGCGGGGGACCGUAAAGCCUCGCGCAAUUAGAGCGGCCGAUACCUGAUUAGCUAGUUGGUGAGGUAAAGGCUCACCAAGGCAACGAUCAGUAGCUGGUCUGAGAGGACGAUCAGCAACCCUGGGGCGGAGACACGGCCCAGACUCCUACGGGAGGCAGCAGUGGGGAAUUUUGGACAAUGGGGGCAACCCUGAUCCAGCAAUGCCGCGUGAGUGAAGAAGGCCUUCGGGUUGUAAAGCUCUUUUGUCAGGGAAGAAACAGCAGCUCUAACACAGUUUGCGAAUGACGGUACCGUAAGAAUAAGCACCGGCUAACUACGUGCCAGCCGCCGCCGUAA